AUACCUUUCUCGGCCUUCUAGCUAAGAUCAAGUGUAGUAUCUGUUCUUAUUAGUUUAAUAUCUGAUAUAUGGGCCAUCGGCUCACUCUUUAUUAAAUUAAUUUUUUGAUGGGAGGGCCCACUACAGUACAUCCACUUGGGUCUCUUAUGCGUCACCUUGGUGUUGCACUAUUGCCUUGGCCUGGCGCACUCCAC